rnacentral:rRNA from 1 species
AUUGAACGCUGGCGGCAGGCCUAACACAUGCAAGUCGAGCGGAUGAAGGGAGCUUGCUCCUGGAUUCAGCGGCGGACGGGUGAGGAAUGCCUAGGACUCUGCCUGGUAGUGGGGGAUAACGUCCGGAAACGGGCGCUAAUACCUCAUACGUCCUGAGGGGGAAAGUGGGGGAUCUUCGGACCUCACGCUAUCAUAUGAGCCUAGGCCGGAUUAGCUAGUUGGUGGGGUAAAGGCCUACCAAGGCGACGAUCCGUAACUGGUCUGAGAGGAUGAUCAGUCACACUGGAACUGAGACACGGUCCAGACUCCUACGGGAGGCAGCAGUGGGGAAUAUUGGACAAUGGGCGAAAGCCUGAUCCAGCGAUGCCGCGUGUGUGAAGAAGGUCUUCGGAUUGUAAAGCACUUUGAGUUGGGAGGAAGGGCAGUAAGUUAAUACCUUGCUGUUUUGACGUUACCAACAGAAUAAGCACCGGCUAACUUCGUG